CACGGGGGGAGCAAGCGUUGUUCGGAAUCACUGGGCGUAAAGGGCGUGUAGGCGGUCAAGUAAGUGGAAUGUGAAAUCCCCCCGGCUUACCCGGGGGACCGGCAUCCCCAUACUGCUUGGCUUGAGUACGGGAGAGGAUGUGGGAAUUCCUGGUGUAGCGGUGAAAUGCGUAGAUAUCAGGAGGAACACCGGUGGCGAAGGCGCACAUCUGGCCCGGUACUGACGCUGAGGUGCGAAAGCGUGGGGAGCAAACAGG
rnacentral:rRNA from 1 species